rnacentral:rRNA from 1 species
UACGAAGGGGGCUAGCGUUGCUCGGAAUUACUGGGCGUAAAGCGCACGUAGGCGGAUUGUUAAGUCAGUGGUGAAAUCCUGGAGCUCAACUCCAGAACUGCCUUUGAUACUGGCGAUCUUGAGUCCGGGAGAGGUGAGUGGAACUGCGAGUGUAGAGGUGAAAUUCGUAGAUAUUCGCAAGAACACCAGUGGCGAAGGCGGCUCACUGGCCCGGUACUGACGCUGAGGUGCGAAAGCGUGGGGAGCAAACAGG